GGGCCGCAAGGCCAGUGGCGGAAGGGUGAGUAAGGCGAAGGUAACCAACCCCGCAGUUGGGCAUAGCCGGGGGAAACCCCGGGUAAUUCCCAGCGACGCGACGACCUGGCAUCAGGUUGUCGCCAAAGAUUUAUCGCUGUGGGACGGGCCUUCGUGGUAUUAGCUUGUUGGUGAGGUGACGGCUCACCAAGGCUUCGAUGCCUACCGGGCGUGCGAGCGUGGCCCGGCACACUGGGACUGAGACACUGCCCAGACUCCUACGGGAGGCUGCAGUCGAGAAUCUUCGGCAAUGGGCGCAAGCCUGACCGAGCGACGCCGCGUGGAGGAUGAAGGCCUUCGGGUUGUAAACUCCUGUCGAGGGGGAGGAAGGGGUAACCUUGACCGAUCCCUGGAGGAAGCACGGGCUAAGUUCGUGCCAGCAGCCGCGGUAAGACAAACCGUGCGAACGUUAUUCGGAAUCACUGGGCUUAAAGCGCGUGUAGGCGGACCACCACGUCGGCUGCUGAAAUCCCCCGGCUCAACCGGGGAACGGGCACCGAUACGAGUGGUCUUGAGGGGGGGUAGGGGGGUCUGGAACUUCCGGUGGAGCGGUGAAAUGCGUUGAGAUCG
rnacentral:rRNA from 1 species